ensembl:lncRNA
GAACGCCGACAUUCAGUCAUUUCCUGAUUAUGAAAUUGUUUUUUUAACCAUGUUCUCCAGACACUAGACCCCAGCUGUCCAGCAGUGUCCCAGGCCCUGGAUGCUAUAAGAGAGGUAAGGCUGGACAGCUUCAGCCUGGCUAGUCUCAGAGAUCAGAAAAUCAUCAACCUCUGGUUCAACACCAGACUCCGUCCCUUCCUACCUGCCGUCUCCACUGACUUCCUGUCCUGCCUCAGCACCAAGAACUUCAGCUGCUCCACCUACCAGACCAUCGUUCAGAUCCUGAGCAGCCACCACUCAGCCAUGGACCAGUCCAGACAGAUAUCAGUCUACACUACCUUCAUAGAGGUCUUUCUCUCCAGGAACAACACAGCAGACCCCAGCUGUAGCUCUGACACCCUGAACAGUGGAGACUGGCUGCUGAAGAACUUCAGAGGAUUCUCUGCCUUCGCCUCCUUCAAGGACAUGCAGAGACUACUGACCACCUUCUCUGUGAUGGAGGCCCUGCCCCAGCUCACAGUGAGACAGUUAGCAGAGGUGUCCUCUAGUCCAGACCAGCUCAGCUCUGCUGCAGACGUCACCAUGCUGAUGAACUACGUACCCAACAUCCUCUUCACUGACUUCUUCAAUGACUUCUCUCUAGCCAUCACCGGUCAAGAGUCUAAGUUCCCAGUGGCGGUGCGUUCAGCCAUGCUCCAGCAGGUGUUUGAACGCGGGAACCUAUCAGACCGCUCUGUUAGCGACCAGGAAGUGCUCACCUGGCUUCAGAGCAGGCUCCGCCCACUGCUGAUCAACCUGUCCCCACUCCACGUCGCCCCCCUCUUCAGUGUGGUCGCACAGAGGAACUGCAACAUCGGACAGCAGCUGGUGGAGGUGCUGAACGCCACCCUCCCUACACUUCAGGACAACACACAGAGAAACAUCUACGAUCAAAUCACCCUCUCCCUCCAAGGCUCCUCCCCACUCCGUUGCUAUGGCGCAAACUACAACCACAGUUUCUAUGGUUACCUGGAGAGUUCCUUCCUGAGUUUCGGCUUCCCCAACCUGACCACCUUCCUCUCCCUCAUACCCCAUAGCCAGAUGGAACAGCUGGUGAACUCUCUGCCUGUCUCUGACCUGGGUCGUUUCCUGCGCCGCCCCAACGUUGUCGACGACGACACAAAGCUCUGCCAACUCUACAGCAACUAUGCCAAGACUCCACUGUUCCUGGGGACUGAGAGUAUCCCUGGGUCAGUGAGGCGUCCCACACUGCCGUGUGUCUGGCCCCAGGCUCUCAGCAGCAGUCAGAGGUCAGAGGUCAACGCCUGGUUUGACCUGAGGCUGAAGAACUACCUGCCCUUCCUCACCAGGAGCCUGGUGACCUCCGCCGCUGUCAAGACCGCCCCUUGUCUGGCCUUCCAGAAACUGUAAGGGAUUUUCCCAAAAAUAUAUUAGUACAUAUUUGUUUCUGAUUUUAUUGAAAGGGAUAGACAGAAACCAGCUGAACGUCAGACAGAAGACUGGUGGGACCGGAAUUCAGUCCCGUGCAGGCUGCAGGCUGCAGGCUGGGAUUUGCAGAUGUGCAGAGGGCCGCGGCUUCCACCUGUUAUGACGUCUUACUGCGACUUGUUACCACGGGAACAGCCACCUUCAAGGGCUUAGUAUUGGUGGAACUCUUGUAGAAGAGUUUCUUACUGGCCGUGUUAC